ACCUACGGGGGGCAGCAGUAAGGGAUAUUGGUCAAUGGGGGAAACCCUGAACCAGCAACGCCGCGUGAGGGAAGACGGUUUUCGGAUUGUAAACCUCUGUCCUCUGUGAAGAUGAUGACGGUAGCAGAGGAGGAAGCUCCGGCUAACUACGUGCCAGCAGCCGCGGUAAUACGUAGGGGGCAAGCGUUAUCCGGAUUUACUGGGUGUAAAGGGAGCGUAGACGGCAAUACAAGUCGGAAGUGAAAUACCCGGGCUCAACCUGGGAACUGCUUUGGAAACUGUAUGGCUGGAGUGCUGGAGAGGUA
rnacentral:rRNA from 1 species